AUUGAACGCUGGCGGCAGGCUUAACACAUGCAAGUCGAGCGGGGGAAGGUAGCUUGCUACCGGACCUAGCGGCGGACGGGUGAGUAAUGCUUAGGAAUCUGCCUAUUAGUGGGGGACAACAUCUCGAAAGGGAUGCUAAUACCGCAUACGUCCUACGGGAGAAAGCAGGGGAUCUUCGGACCUUGCGCUAAUAGAUGAGCCUAAGGCGGAUUAGCUAGUUGGUGGGGUAAAGGCCUACCAAGGCGACGAUCUGUAGCGGGUCUGAGAGGAUGAGCCCCCACACUGGGACAGGGACACGGGCCAGACUCCUACGGGAGGAAGCAGUGGGGAAUAUUGGACAAUGGGGGGAACCCUGAUCCAGCCAUGCCGCGUGUGUGAAGAAGGCCUUAUGGUUGUAAAGCACUUUAAGCGAGGAGGAGGCUACUCUAGUUAAUACCUAGGGAUAGUGGACGUUACUCGCAGAAUAAGCACCGGCUAACUCUGUGCCAGCCGCCGCGGUAA
rnacentral:rRNA from 1 species